rnacentral:rRNA from 1 species
UGGGGAAUUUUGGACAAUGGGCGAAAGCCUGAUCCAGCAAUGCCGCGUGUGUGAAGAAGGCCUUCGGGUUGUAAAGCACUUUUGUCCGGAAAGAAAUGGCUCUGGUUAAUACCUGGGGUCGAUGACGGUACCGGAAGAAUAAGGACCGGCUAACUACGUGCCAGCAGCCGCGGUAAUACGUAGGGUCCAAGCGUUAAUCGGAAUUACUGGGCGUAAAGCGUGCGCAGGCGGUUGUGCAAAACCGAUGUGAAAUCCCCGAGCUUAACUGGGGAAUUGCAUUUGUGACUGUACGGCUAGAGUGUGGCAGAGGGGGGUAGAAUUCCACGUGUAGCAGUGAAAUGCGUAGAGAUGUGGAGGAAUACCGAUGGCGAAAGCAGCCACCUGGGAUAACACUGACGCUCAUGCACGAAAGCGUGGGGAGCAAACAGG